UAUAUAUAUAUAUAUAUAUAUAUAUAUAUAUAUUUGUGUACACUCUGUUCCUAAACAUUUCAAAUUAUAGUAGUCAUAAUAAUAAUAAUACUUUUAGUUGAUCCCAGCAUCCAUCAAGUGUAAUUAUUUGGGGGCUUAUGAGCAAUUUUGAAAUUCUUACAAAGCACUGUAACUUUAAGGACAUCUUAUCUAUGUGAGAACAGAUUAAAAAGAGAUCUCUCUCUCUCUCUCUCUCUCUCUCUCUCUCUCUCUCUCUCUGUCUCUUCUUCAAAACAUUUACACUGAUCUGGUGGGCUCGAUCUUUAAUCAUCAAUUGUCUCUCUGCUGUCCUUUUAACACACAGUACAACUAAAGACUUAGCUAUAAAUCUUCACUUAAUCCACCUCAAACAUUUUUUUUUUUUUUUUACUUUUUUAAAUUAGGUUCAAAAUGUAUAAAAAGUGUCCUCCACUUAACAUGGGUUCGUAUUGCACUAAGUUGUAAAGAAUGAUUCAGAGUAAGUUCAAAUUUGUGCCACAAAUGACUGAAAUCAUGACGAUGAAUUUUGGAACAUUUUCUUAAACUUAAGCUUCACUACUUGUCAGCGUUGCCUUUGGUCAGUACACAAUUAGAUUUGCACUUGGAUGUUUCCUUCGUUUUAUUUGUUUUGUUUGUUUGUUGUUUAUGCUAAUUGCGAGCAGACUUCUGAGAGGUCUGUGUUGAUCUCGUGCCUGUGUGGCUUUGGUUAACAUGUUGCACUAGAAUAGAGCGAUGCAGCGCAGCUUGACUAUGUUCUCUAAAAAGUUAUUUUUCACAUACAAAGAGACCUUUUAUAUGAACAUGUGCUGCUGUAUUUUUUUGUUAUGCAUCUAUUUUGUGAAUAAACCCCUUUGAGAUUAAAAUCUUUGUGAUUAAAGUCUUUAUUUAAUAAGUGUUUUUUUUUCUUUUCCACCAGGGGGUGCUCUAGUCAAUGUCUAAAAUAGCAGACCAUCAUGGGUAUCCUUGAUGUACAGAUGGAAAAAAAAAAGGAUUAAAUUCACUCCCAUUAAUGGUUCCUUCACUUGUCUCUGUGAGGGGAAACCUUAAAGGUUCUGUGUAGAACCCUACUAGAGAGAUUUACAAGUAGAACCCCCUUUUAGGAGGCCAACAACCCAUUCAAUAUCCAAAGAACGUUAAUUAACCAUUUCCUUGUCAUGUUACUGAGAAAGUGUAAAACUCCUCUGUCCUGAAAAGUUUCCCAUGACAGUUCCAUGUUGUUUUUUUUAUAAUGUUGAGGGUGGGACACAUCAGAUUUUAAAGAGCAUUUGAUUGGACAGAAAAUCUGACAAGAAGUUGAAGUACGGAACGAUGUCAUCAAAAUUGUUGAUCCGUAUUGGUGGUAGAGAGAGACGUGUAUAUGCAGAGUUUGAACGUGGUUAUUGUCUAAAUGUGAAUUUUUGUCAUUGUUCUGGAGUGCACUAGCUCAUAGAUAACCUUAAGGCUGACCUAUUCACACUAAAAGCCACAAUUUUGAUUUCAUGGGGACUUUAAAGGAACUGCUUUACCGCGAACUUUUACAAAGUGCUGACACUGAAGACUCCUUCCAUAAAUGCUAAACAACCAUCUUGCAGAACCUCACCGUAUCCAUGAUUAAACCUUUUUUUUAAAAUCAAUUUACGUGGAGUGUUCUCCAGCACACAUCUCUGUGUAAAUUUAUACUACAGAAAAGAUAACGUAUUAGAAUGAGUGCCUUAAUAAAAACCUUUUAUAGAAAAUUCAUCAACACGCGUCUGACCAAUCAGAAUCGAGUUCCAUGACUCCAUGGUACACAAGUUGAACUUGUACAGGAAUCUUAGUAGGUGUAACCAGUAACAGCACAAUUCACACAAAUCAUUUCAUUUGUUUUUAAUGUCCCAACAACAUAAAAAGCUUCAUUUACUCAAUAUCAUGUGAAUGUGCAAAAUUCUAAAGUAAACACCAACUUGUACAUCAAGUUACUGCCUUAAAAUGCUCCGGAGUUUGUUUUUUUUCUCCUCUCACUACAUCCUAUCUACUACAUCCAUAAUGUGCACCAUAGACAAUUUUGACGUUUCUCUUUACUGAGAAAAGAGCAAGAGAUUCUUAUGUGAAACACAAAACAUAGGGAGGCUGUUGGGCGUCAGAUGGGUGAUAGUAAACGUAUGCAUUUAACAUGUAGAGAGCUUUAAUGAAUUCUUCAGUCAAAUGUAUAAAUUUGAUGAACAGUUCUUCUGUUUCCUCAGGAUUGUGGACAGAUAUUAAUAAACCUCAGGGAAAAUCUUCUUCUGGUUCGAGAAUUCAGCAAUGCUGUGGUGGCAUAUUAAACAUCUACUGACCAUUUAACAACUGCCCUUAGACUAAAAGGGUUUUCUGUUGAUCUUAGUUUUAAGUAAAGGGAAACAUCAGUUAUUGUUAGUGCAAUAGUUACACGUUACAACCUUCACUCUUUUUAUUACUGUCUUUGCACUUGGACUCACAGGAAACUGUUUAUAUGUGAUACCACACACUGUAUUACUUGUUCAGUCAUGACAUGUGAGGUCCCUAUUAUAAAACUGGAUAGUUUCAUUUUCCAGAGACCACAAAGUAGGGUUAUUAGGUGAAAUGGCCACUGGUCCUGGUGGAAUGGUUUUCUCAGUACUAUAAUGAACCCUAAAUGUCCCCAGUGGUCCAUUUGCCCACGCUUAGCUCUGAGAGUCCCUGUGGUCCAUUUGACCACAGUCUGACCCAGUGGUCCAUUGACUACAUUCGGCCUUCAGAGGUGCUCAUGUUUGUCUCAACAUGCCAGUAAUUCAAUGUUUGGUCUGUCUUUUGUUUUUCCAUGUCCUGGUCAUCAUCCUCUGAUCAGUUUGUUCGUUGUGGGGGUGUGUUUUCUCAUCACACAGCACAAUGGAGCCCAUUGAAGUCACAUAUUGGUUGUUGUUUUUUUUGUUUGUUUUUUUACGUAUUUUCGAUCGAUGGCGUGUUAUGUAUCGUGACCACAGUGGAGCCACUGUUCAUGCUGAUUCGUUCAGCCGUGUUAGCCACCUCGGCUCGUGGUAAAUGGAACCCGUUCUCCGAGAUGUUGGGCAAGUGUACUAAGCCUCCCAUGUUGGCGCUGCCUCGCAUGUUGGCACUGCCUCGCAUGUUCUCCAUCUGCAGUGUCGUCAUUGUUGUUGAGGUCGUGUUUUUACGUGGUUUGGUGGAAGUCCCAUUGAGUAUCCUCCUUGUGUGCAUCUUCCUGUAGCACAAACACAUAAUGUGCCUCUUAUUUAGUCUUGAAAUGGGUUAAUAAUAAAGAAAUCAAUUACCUAAUGAUAAUAAUAUUAUUAUAUAAUCAUUAUAAUAAUAAUAAUAAUAAUAAUAAUAAGAGGAAUUAUUGUUAUUUCUUCAAUUUACCUUUUUUAAUCACAAAAUUAUAUUAUAUUCCAUUAUUAGAACAUAAGAUGGAGAAAAUAAUAAUAAUUAUUCGAA
ensembl:lncRNA